rnacentral:sRNA from 1 species
UCCGUAGGUGAACCUGCGGAAGGAUCAUUAAUAGUGCCCUCUGAUGCAAAUCAUUGGGUUAGAUCUGCUCUCUUCGCAAGAAGAGGGUUUCCAUACACACCGUGAACUGUGGCUUCGGCCAUCACAAACUGUUAGUAAUGAAUGUAAUAUCAUAACAAAAACAAAACUUUUAACAACGGAUCUCUUGGCUCUCGCAUCGAUGAAGAACGCAGCGAAAUGCGAUAAGUAAUGUGAAUUGCAGAAUUCAGUGAUUCAUCGAAUCUUUGAACGCACCUUGCGCCCUUUGGUAUUCCGAAGGGCAUGCCUGUUUGAGUGUCAUGAAACCUCACCCCACUUGGGUUUUUGCCUGAGCGGUGGUGUAUUGGGUGUUGCCUUGCUAAAGGCUCGCCUUAAAGACAUAAGCACCUUGGAUGUAAUACGUUUCAUCCUUCUGGGUGGCUGAUAACCCCACAUAUUCAUGAUCUGGCCUCAAAUCAGGUAGGGCUACCCGCUGAACUUAAGCAUAUCAAUAAGCGGAGGAAAAGAAACUAACUAGGAUUCCCUUAGUAACGGCGAGUGAACCGGGAUGAGCUCAAAUUUAAAAUCUGGCGUCUUUCAGGCGUCCGAGUUGUAAUCUAUAGAGGCGUUUUCCGCGCCGGACCGCGUCCAAGUCUCUUGGAAUAGAGUAUCAAAGAGGGUGACAAUCCCGUACUUGACGCGACAACCGGUGCUCUGUGAUACGUUCUCAAUGAGUCGAGUUGUUUGGGAAUGCAGCUCUAAAUGGGUGGUAAAUUCCAUCUAAGGCUAAAUAUUGGCGAGAGACCGAUAGCGAACAAGUACCGUGAGGGAAAGAUGAAAAGCACUUUGGAAAGAGAGUUAAACAGCACGUGAAAUUGUUAAAAGGGAAACGCUUGAAGU